AGCGAACGCUGGCGGCAGGCCUAACACAUGCAAGUCGAACGAAGCCUUCGGGCUUAGUGGCGGACGGGUGAGUAACACGUGGGAACGUACCUUUAGGUUCGGAACAACUCAGGGAAACUUGAGCUAAUACCGGAUAAGCCCUUCGGGGGAAAGAUUUAUCGCCUUUAGAGCGGCCCGCGUUAGAUUAGCUAGUUGGUGAGGUAAAGGCUCACCAAGGCUACGAUCUAUAGCUGGUCUGAGAGGAUGAUCAGCCACACUGGGACUGAGACGCGGCCCAGACUCCUACGGGAGGCAGGAGUGGGGAAUCUUGCGCAAUGGGCGAAAGCUUGACGCAGCCAUGCCGCGGGAAUGAUGAAGAUCUUAGGAUUGUAAAAUUCUUUCACCGGGGAAGAUAAUGACGGUACCCGGAGAAGAAGCCCCGGCUAACUUCGUGCCAGCCGCCGCAGUAA
rnacentral:rRNA from 1 species